AUUGAACGCUGGCGGAAUGCUUUACACAUGCAAGUCGAGCGGCAGCGCGGGGCAACCUGGCGGCGAGCGGCGAACGGGUGAGUAAUGUAUCGGAACGUACCCAGUCGUGGGGGAUAACUAUCCGAAAGGAUAGCUAAUACCGCUUACGUCCUGAGGGAGAAAGCGGGGGAUCGCAAGACCUCGCGCGAUUGGAGCGGCCGAUAUCGGAUUAGCUAGUUGGUGAGGUAAAGGCUCACCAAGGCGACGAUCCGUAGCUAGUCUGAGAGGACGACCAGCCACACUGGAACUGAGACACGGUCCAGACUCCUACGGGAGGCAGCAGUGGGGAAUUUUGGACAAUGGGGGCAACCCUGAUCCAGCCAUUCCGCGUGAGUGAAGAAGGCCUCGGUUGUAAGCUCUUCGGUCAGGAACGAAACGGUAGGGACGUCGUAACAUAGCCU
rnacentral:rRNA from 1 species